rnacentral:rRNA from 1 species
GAUGAACGCUGGCGGCGUGCCUAAUACAUGCAAGUCGAGCGAACGGACGAUGAUCUUGCUGCUCUGAUGUUAGCGGCGGACGGGUGAGUAACACGUGUAUAACCUACCUAUAAUACUGGUAUAACUUCGGGAAACCGGAUCUAAUACCAGAUGAUAUUUUGAACCGCAUGGUUCAAUAGUAAAAUACGGUCUUUCUGUCACUUAUCGCUGGAUCCGCGCUGCAUUGGCUAGUUGGUAAGUUAAUGGCUUACCAAGGCAACUAUGCAUAGCCGACCUGAGUGGGUGAUCGGCCACCCUGGAGCUGAGACACGGUCAAGAGGACUGCGGGAGGCCGCAGUAGGCAACGUUAGGCAGCGGGCGAAAGCAUGACGCAGUAACGGCGAGUGAGAGACGAAGGUCCUCGGAUCGUAAAAAUGUGUUACUAGGGAAGAACCUAUGUGUACGUAAACGUGCCGAGCUUGACGGUAACUAAUAAGAAAGCAACGGCUAACUACGUG